GCAUUGGUGGUUCAGUGGUAGAAUUAUCUCCUUCUAUGUGGGAGACCCAGGUUCAAUUCCUGGCCAAUGCA
rnacentral:tRNA from 1 species